AAACCAACCGGGAUUGCCUUAGUAACGGCGAGUGAAGCGGCAAAAGCUCAAAUUUGAAAUCUGGUACCUUCGGUGCCCGAGUUGUAAUUUGGAGAGGGCAACUUUGGGGCCGUUCCUUGUCUAUGUUCCUUGGAACAGGACGUCAUAGAGGGUGAGAAUCCCGUGUGGCGAGGAGUGCGGUUCUUUGUAAAGUGCCUUCGAAGAGUCGAGUUGUUUGGGAAUGCAGCUCUAAGUGGGUGGUAAAUUCCAUCUAAAGCUAAAUAUUGGCGAGAGACCGAUAGCGAACAAGUACAGUGAUGGAAAGAUGAAAAGAACUUUGAAAAGAGAGUGAAAAAGUACGUGAAAUUGUUGAAAGGGAAGGGCAUUUGAUCAGACAUGGUGUUUUGUGCCCUCUGCUCCUUGUGGGUAGGGGAAUCUCGCAUUUCACUGGGCCAGCAUCAGUUUUGGUGGCAGGAUAAAUCCAUAGGAAUGUAACUUGCCUCGGUAAGUAUUAUAGCCUGUGGGAAUACUGCCAGCUGGGACUGAGGACUGCGACGUAAGUCAAGGAUGCUGGCAUAAUGGUUAUAUGCCGC
rnacentral:rRNA from 1 species